UACGAAGGGGGCUAGCGUUGCUCGGAAUCACUGGGCGUAAAGGGUGCGUAGGCGGGUCUUUAAGUCAGAGGUGAAAUCCUGGAGCUCAACUCCAGAACUGCCUUUGAUACUGAGGAUCUUGAGUACGGGAGAGGUGAGUGGAGCUCCGAGUGUAGAGGUGAAAUUCGUAGAUAUUCGGAAGAACACCAGUGGCGAAGGCGGCUCACUGGCCCGGUACUGACGCUGAGGUGCGAAAGCGUGGGGAGCAAACAGG
rnacentral:rRNA from 1 species